rnacentral:rRNA from 1 species
GUAGGGGGCAAGCGUUGUCCGGAAUCAUUGGGCGUAAAGCGCGUGUAGGCGGCCAGAUAAGUCCGCUGUGAAAUCUCGAGGCUCAACUUCGAGCUGUCGGUGGAAACUGUCUGGCUAGAGUCCGGAAGAGGAGAAUGGAAUUCCUGGUGUAGCGGUGAAAUGCGCAGAUAUCAGGAAGAACACCCGUGGCGAAGGCGGUUCUCUGGGACGGUACUGACGCUGAGACGCGAAAGCGUGGGGAGCGAACAGGAUUAGAUACCCUGGUAGUCCACGCCGUAAACGAUGGGUGCUAGGUGUGGGCGGUGUCGACUCCGUCCGUGCCGAAGCUAACGCAUUAAGCACCCCGCCUGGGGAGUACGGCCGCAAGGCUAAA